ACGUAGGCACCAAGCGUUGUCCGGAUUUAUUGGGCGUAAAGAGCUCGUAGGCGGUUCGGUAAGUCAGGUGUGAAAACUUUGGGCUCAACCCAAAGCCUGCAUUUGAUACUGCUGUGACUAGAGUUCGGUAGGGGAGCGGGGAAUUCCUAGUGUAGCGGUGAAAUGCGCAGAUAUUAGGAGGAACACCGGUGGCGAAGGCGCCGCUCUGGGCCGAUACUGACGCUGAGGAGCGAAAGCGUGGGUAGCAAACAGGAUUAGAUACCCUGGUAGUCCACGCCGUAAACGUUGGGCACUAGGUGUGGGUUUCAACCAACGAAAUCCGCGCCGUCGCUAACGCAUUAAGUGCCCCGCCUGGGGAGUACGGCCGCAAGGUUA
rnacentral:rRNA from 1 species